rnacentral:tRNA from 1 species
UGUUCUGUGGCUUAGUUGGUUAAAGCGCCGGUCAAGCGAUACGGAGUUGUGGGUACGAAUCCCACUAGAACGC